AACUUUCAACAAUGGAUCUCUUGGCUCUCGCAUCGAUGAAGGACGCCGCGAACGCGCGAAACGUAAUGUGAAUUGCAGAAUUCAGUGAAUCAUCGACUCUUUGAACGCAUCUUGCGCUCCUUGGCAUUCCGAGGAGCAUGCCUGUUUGAGAGUCGUGAACGUGCUCAAGCCUGUGGCUUGGAAUUGGACGCCUUGUCGCGUUAAGGCCCUUUGGGGCCGUCGGCGACUCGUCUUGAAACGCAUAUAGUCGGCCUCGGUCGAAGUCGAAAUGCGGUGUGAUAAUUAAAUCGACGUCGCGGACGCUUCGAACUCGAGGGCGACUUCAAACGGUCCGACUUAGUGUGGACUGCCCUCUGGGGUAAACCGUGUAAGCGUCUGACCUCAAAUCAGGUAGGACUACCCGCUGAACUUAAGCAUAUCAAUAAGCGGAGGAU
rnacentral:misc_RNA from 1 species